rnacentral:lncRNA from 1 species
GUUCCUGUGAGCUGAGUGCCUCCUUGCUGUGCGCCAUACACUGUUCUGCCUCCUCUACAUGCAUUAACCCAUUUAAUCCUCAAAAUAACCCCAUACAAGAGGUACUAAUAUUAAUUCCAUUUUAAGAUGAGGAAACUGAGGCACGGAGCACCCAAUAUCACCAGCUACUUGCUGGAGGAGCUAGGAUUUGAAUCCAGCAGUGCUUGCUCCAGAUCCCUCACGCACUAAGGCCCUGGCAUUGGGACCCUGCUGCUCAGGGCUGCUUCGGAGGGCACAGACCCCAUGGCCUCAUCAUCAGGAGCCAGCAGAGACCUCAGUCCCCCUCCUGGGCAUACCCUACACCUGCCACAGCAGCUCCUCACAUGCCCCCCCACAAACCCAGAACUUGCUGUCAGGCGAAAGCCUGAAACUCCUCCAGGGCUCACACGAUCACCGCCUCAGAGUCCCCAGUCCUCCCGUGUGGACGGCUCUGCGUUCAGAGAUGUCUGACACCUGCCCUUAGGCCAACACCGGCCAAUAGAAGUGUAACAUGAGCCACAAGUGCAAGGCACACAUGGAAUUUAAAAUUUCUAGUAACCACAUUAAAAAAAAGAAACAGGUGAAAUGGAUUUAAAAAUAUAUUUAACCCAAUGUUAUCAUUUCAAGAUGUAAUCAGUAUUAAAAAUUUAUUAGCUGUUUGACAUUCUUUUGUGGUUCUGAGUCUCUGAAAUCUGGUAUGUGUUUUCCACUUACAGCACACCUCAAUUCAGAUGAGCCAUAUCUCAAGUGCUCAGCGGCCACACGUGGCUGGUGGCUCCCGUGUUGGACAGUGUAGUCUUGGACAGUCGCGCCCUGUGCCCUGUUGAAAUGCUAUGAGGAAGGAGAAGAUGGGAUUCCUGCUUUGAGGGCACUCUGCGCUCACUCAAGCAAGAGGACAUGUGGGAGGAAAACCUCAGGCAGGAAUAUAAGCUUCCCGUCAGCCGUGCUCUGUGGCCAUCCCUCGCCCCUGAUCAGACUUGGUCCCGUCAGCUUGGUAACAGCUACUCCCUCCAAUCCCAGCGUGAAGAAGCCGUGCACCAGCAACAAGUCAAGAUGAGGCCCAGGGGUCCUGACCCCCUUAGAUCACUCGGAAACAGCCAUUCCCAGAAUAACGGAGCCUUGAUUCUGCUGUAAUAUGAAGAAGAAAGAGCCCAAACCCGAGCUUUGCCCUAUGACUGGGGCUGCUAGAGGGAGAUAAAGGAGGGAGAGAAGACCUAGCCCUGACUCAGGGGGGCUCCCAGUCUGGGAAGGCUUGGAGGGUCCCCUUGGGCAUCAAGCAGCAAUGAAACUCAGUGAUUGGCCAAACUGCUCAUUCUCCAAAUUAGGUACCUGAGAGCCAGGGAGGCAGCCAGACUUGCCCGCCCCAGAGGUAGUCAUUGCAGAACUUCUCCCCAGCCCCAAGCUUUGGCCUCUCUGUGCCCUUCUCCACCAGCUCUCAACGGCAGAGAAGUCGAAAGCUGCCAGCAAGGAGCUGACACAGUAGGAGCAGCCAGGCCCACAGGACCCGGGGCACGACAGGAAUGCAUGACUCUUGGUGGUGGUCCAGAGAAAAUUUUGACUUUCUUGCUAAUAAAGCCAAAUUCCAUGAAAGCUACA